GGAGGAAUAUUGGGCAAUGGGCGAAAGCCUGACCCAGCAACGCCGCGUGGAGGAUGAAGGCCUUCGGGUCGUAAACUCCUUUUGAGGGAGACGAGCAAGGACGGUAUCCCUCGAAUAAGCCACGGCUAACUACGUGCCAGCAGCCGCGGUAAAACGUAGGUGGCGAGCGUUAUCCGGAUUCAUUGGGCGUAAAGAGCUUGUAGGUGGUUCUGUAAGUUGGACGUGAAAACUCCGGGCUUAACUUGGAGAGGCCGUUCAAUACUGCAGGGCUAGAGGAUGUCAGAGGGGAGUGGAAUUCCUGGUGUAGCAGUGAAAUGCGUAGAUAUCAGGAGGAACACCCGUGGCGAAGGCGGCUCCCUGGGGCAUCCCUGACACUGAGAAGCGAAAGCUAGGGGAGCAAACGGG
rnacentral:rRNA from 1 species